UGAAUAAAGAGAAGAAUGUUAUUAUUGCUCGUGUUUACAUCGUUUCCACUGUAUCUUGAUUCACAUGAAAAUGAAAAAGUAAGGAAUAUAUGGAAUAAAAGAAACAAGAAAAACGUGUGUAUUCUGAUUUCUGUAUUACUGGUAUGACUAUGAAGCUAGUGACCGGUGCUUCCCGGAUUCGGCCCCCAAGCCAGGCGCUCGAACCAGCAAGCCAUGGUGCAUCUUGCCCUCUCGUAAGCUGCCGACGAGUACAUUGCAUGGUUGUUUUCCCUCGCGAAAUCUUCCGGCAAAGCCUGGGCCGCCGAGAACGUGCAGAACGAUGACUAACUUGCAGAAAUUCAUCUGUUCUUUACCUUUUCAAACGCGAGACGAAAUAUUUUAAUUGGUAAUUUGACUUUUGGUUGGAGACUUUGGGUUGGAUUUUGGGACGCGGGAUUAUAUUUAUAGCCAAAAAAAGAGACUCGCACAAGUGAAGGUUGACUUUUGGUUGGAGACUUUGGGUUGGAUUUUGGGACGUGGGGUGAUAUUUAUAGCCCAAAAAAGAGACUCGCACAAGUGAUGGUGGGCUAAGGUGGUAUGCCGGUUCACUUUCCUUAGUGACCGGGGCCUUUAGGACUAGGUCCUGAUUCCAAGCGUUGGAGCCACCACGACAUGCUUUGCCGUGCUUGCUCGGACAGUACCGACGGCGAAUAGGAUGCUAAGUUGUUUGCUCUCGCGAAAUCCUCCGGCAACACCCUCGUCGCCUCCGUGCACUGGAAGGCAAGCAAUGCCACGAAGACAACCAACAUGAGCACGAUGGGGCCGAUCACGGACCUCCUGGCCGCCAUUAUCUCCAAAAAUAAUGGGUGUAGAGAGAGAGAGAGAGAGAGAGAGAGUAGUUUGUAAUGUGUUGAG
rnacentral:lncRNA from 1 species